rnacentral:lncRNA from 1 species
AGAAAAGGGGAGUAGGGGUUGAUGGGGUUUUAAUAUGUGAGGUUGUAGAUAGAGUAGUGAAGGAAGAGGUUGAUUCUUUGUAUAAAUGAGUGGUGGUGUAUACUCUGAUCAAAGGAUGGACAGUUAUCUGCUGUGAAAGAAUGCUAUUGGUUGAUAUGGAUUAUAUAUCCUAUGACGUGUAUAUGUUUAUCUAAAGAUGGAAAUUGAAGGGCUACAAUUAUAUUGAAUCACAAAAAGUUUAAACUAGUACAAGACUGAAAAUAAAAAUUUCAAUACGUAGAUUUUCCAUUAUGUGGCUCUAUAGAAGGUCACAAUUCUUUAUUUUUUUCCCUUUGAGAGAUGCAGACAUGUAAUUUAUGAUAGGUUUAAGAUGCGUUUUUGACUUGAAUUAUAUAUCUAUAGUUAAAAGAAGUUUAAUUAUGUUAAUGGAAAAUACUCAAUGUCAUUAUCGGUUAUUUUGUGGUAUGGAAUGAGACACGAUUAAUUAACCAAAGCACACACAAAAGGAGAUAUUUCAAAACAAAUAUACCCUCGUAUACAAAAAACAAAAAUAUAACUUAACUAGUAUACUCUAGUAAGUAAAAAUAUAAGUCUAAAUUUAUCUAUUAUGGAGUAGUACAUUGCUUAAAUUUUCCCCUCAAUUAAUCUAAAAAUCCUUUUAACACUAUGAACACAAAAUAUCUCAUGUUAGCAAAAGAAGCUACCCUAAUGUAAGCACUAAUAGUUGCUUCUACGACUCAAACUUCUGACCUAUAGAUCAAACGGAGACAACUACAUUAUUUAAUAUGGGGUUCUUUACAUGAAGAGAGGACUAACCUGCAAAGUUUCCACAAAUUUGAUGCUCCAUGCAUUGACAUAGAAUAAGCCAUAAACAUUAGCAAAUGCAAACUCAUAUAUAUAUAUUUAUGCUUCUUGUAGGGUACUCUAAUGUACUACCCUUAUUUCUGUUGUACUGCAAUUGUACUAAGUAGUUUUUGGUACAAGCCUCAAGCCCUAUUCCAUCUAAUUCUGCUUUACAACUCUAAUUCAAAAUAUCUAAGUGCAUAUCUUGAGUGAAGGUUUCAUACUUAAGUAUACACAGAGCAACAGAAAAUGAAAACCCCCAAAUAUUAAACACAAAACAGAAGAUUUAGAUAGAAUAAGGAUCUUUCCUUUUUUAUGCCUAUAUUGUUAGUAUAAACGCUAGGUGACUU